GUCCCUGUAGCAUAAUUGAUUGCGCGUUGGACUUCUAAUUCAAAGGUCAUGGGUUCGAAUCCUACCUGGGAUG